AAUCCUAACCCUAACCCUAAAAAAAAAAAAAAAACCCAUGCAAAACACCCAAAGUACACCCAAACAAUGGCGUAGCGUGGGCGGGGCCACCGGGGCGGUUGCCCUGGGCGCAAAAUUUAGGACUGGUGGAAGGAACGGUGUCGUCCCAUUUGGUCGAAUUCCCAAUUGGUCGAAAAAUAAGUACUCGUCUGUUAUAUAACCACUACCUGAUUACCUGUGUAUGUAAUGAACAUGGCCUCUUCAUGUUUAUACAAGUUUUGAUUAUAGACGGACAAUGGUUUAUUUACCAAUGUACAUAAACAGGCUGCCGUACAUAAACAUAUUUUCUCGUUUUUCAUAGUUCUCCAUGGCCUCUUGUGAAUAGAGAGAGAGUCUACCGGGAUCUCGACAACAGAGUCCGUCGCCUCAAGCAACAUCUCACUGACAGAACCAAGACACCCCUGCAGUACCUGGAAGCCAUUGGUCACCUCAUGAAGCUGCAGUGAUUGUGACAUUAAGUUCGACCAAUUGGGAAUUCGACCAAAUGGGAGUAAGCCGGAAGGAACUUGGGGAGUGGUUAGGGGGCGCAAUACGUGCCUUGCCCCGGGCGCUGGCAACCCACGCUACGCCACUGCACCCAAACGUCAACUUGCAUUUUGCCUACACAAAUAAUAAACAUUCAUGACGUGGGAAAAUUUUUGUUGCGGUUCCAAGGAGUGGACAUGACAUUUUUUAUGCAGACCCUUUUUGCAGUGUAUCUACUACUUUGUUGGAAAACACGAAUUAAAAUCACCAUAAAAAAUG